AGAACAACAACACAUUGGGAUCGAAACAGUUAUAUUUAAGCAGAUACUUUAUUUCUGCUAAUGAAACUUAAAUUUCACUAUCCCUUUUUUUGGUCCUCACAUGGCUAAGAAGAGAAGCAGUCUGCCUGCAUUGAAAUUCCUCCAAACCAACUGAACUACAACAGAAACAACAUCUGAAACAAAAUGCAGCAUGAUGUUUUGCAAUACUUUAGUGGAUUCAGAGCAAGACGGGAUAUUUCCUUGGACCAGCUCAUGACUCUGAAGACAAAUUACUAAGAACUUCUUAUGCCGAAAAAAACGUUUGUUCAUCAGAAGAGAAAAGAAAAGGCUCUUGUUAUUCAUGGGAAGAACCAGACCAUUUGAUAAGUGAUUUUGGUGUACAUUUUCACCCAAAGGUCAUAGAUAUCAACCACAAAGCCACAGACCAUUGUUUUUUUAAAAAAUUGUUAUUACCGUAUUUGUGCUUGUUAAACUUUUCUCAUUUUUUAACAUUUGUUUUUUUAAAAAACUCCCAAAGAAACAGAAGGUGAAAAGCGCCUAUGAGUAAAUGUUACAUCCAACAAGCUACAGAUGACAUUGACCAACUGCGGGACAGAGAGGCAAUCUUCCUCAGAGUGAGAUGCAAACACGUAAAGGAAAGAACUGUGCCAGGGGUGAUAAACUCUUCCUUCACUUUCACAAAUGUCUAGCCAAUGAUAAUAUGCAAUGUAAUGAAAAAACAGAACAAAGAGGGUUUUUGGUGAUAUGGAGGUUUCACAUACAAGGCUCUAUUUAGUUUCUUUUUAUACUUUAUUGUGUAUUUUUUUUCUCAUCAUAUAACACACAAUAAAGCCAGCAGAGAAACA